rnacentral:rRNA from 1 species
AGACGGAGGGGGCAAGCGUUGUUCGGAAUUACUGGGCGUAAAGCGCGCGUAGGCGGUUUGUCAAGUUGGAGGUGAAAUCCCGGGGCUCAACCCCGGAACUGCCUUCAAAACUGGCCGACUGGAGUCCGGGAGAGGAGAGUGGAAUUCCCAGUGUAGAGGUGAAAUGCGUAGAUAUCGGAAGGAACACCAGUGGCGAAGGCGACUUCCUGGGCCAAUACUGACGCUGAGGUGCGAAAGCGUGGGGAGCAAACAGGAUUAGAAACCCCAGUAGUCC